rnacentral:tRNA from 1 species
GGGGCUGUAGCUCAGUGGUAGAGCGUCCACCUUACACGUGCGAGGUACUGGGUUCAAUCCUCAGCACCACA